rnacentral:rRNA from 1 species
CAAGAACUAAAGGAAUUGACGGGGCCCGCACAAGCGAGGAGCAUGUGGUUAAUUCGAUGAUACGCGAGGAACCUUACCUGGGCUCGAACGUAAGAUGACUGUAGGUGAAAGCUUACAUCUCUUCGGAGCAUUUUACGAGGUGCUGCAUGGUUGUCGUCAGCUCGUGCCGUGAGGUGUCGGGUUAAGUCCCAUAACGAGCGCAACCCCUACCUUUAGUUGCCAUCAGGUAAUGCUGGGGACUCUAAAGGAACUGCCUACGCAAGUAGUGAGGAAGGCGGGGAUGACGUCAAAUCAGCACGGCCCUUACGUCCAGGGCUACACACGUGCUACAAUGGCCGAUACAGAGGGCAGCUACCUGGUGACAGGAUGCAAAUCUCCAAAGUCGGUCUCAGUUCGGAUCGGAGUCUGCAACCCGACUCCGUGAAGUUGGAUUCGCUAGUAAUCGCGCAUCAGCCAUGGCGCGGUGAAUACGUUCCCGGGCCUU